UUUUUUUUUUUUUUUUAACAGAGUCUUACUGUGUCACCCAGGCUGGAGUACAGUGGUGCAAUCUCGGCUCACUGCAACUUCCGCCUCCUGGAUUCAAGCGAUUCACCUGCCUCAGUCUCACAAGUAGCUGGGAUUACAGGCAUGCACCACCACUCCCGGCUUAUUUUUGAAUUUUUAGUAGAGAUGGGGUUUCACCACAUUGGUUGGCCAGGCUGGUCUCGAACUCUCGACCUCAGGUGAUCCGCCGGCGUCGGCCUCCCAAAGUGCUGGGAUUACACGUGUGAGCCAUCACGCCCAGCAGUGGAAAUUCUUAAAAGUGCUUUUAGCUCAUUUGAAUUAGUCAUUCAAUCUCUCACACCUACAAUUCUCCCCUACCCCAGAUAAAUACUUACCCCUCACUCAGUCCCUUCAAACCAACAACACUUAUUCCUCACUCCACUUUCUUUUUGGUCCUUUUCCAUAUCAAAUGUGGCUGUUAUUCCAAUAAGCAUCAGUGAUCUUUAGCAUGUCUUCCCCACUAAUCUGUAGGCAGAGUGAGAGAAAUAACCAUGUCUUUCUUCUUUCCCUCUACAUCCCAGUGUGAAGAAGAAUGUGCUAAAUAUAGUUCACUGAACACAUUCACACACAUACACUCAUACCUACACAUAAUGUUUUACAGAAUUUAAUUAAUCCUCUAUAUACCUUUCAAUCACUUACAUUGUACACUGUGAGCAAUUUUCUAAGUCAUUACAAUAAUUUUCUACAGACAACUUCUUACUGGUUACAUAAUAUUCCGCUAUAGACCUGUUUCAUAACUUCAUCACUUCCCUAUCUGAAUUUUUUUUACUUUUGUCUGCAUAUAUAAUGCAGCAAUAAACAUCAUUGCACAUGAUUGUAUAUCUAAGAUAUUCCCUUAGAAUGAUUUUCUAAAAGUAGGACCAUUGGACUUGACUCAAUAUGAACUUUUUAAGGUCUCAAUAUAGACUGCCAAAUUGCUUUAUAGAACAGUUGUGACAAUUUCAUUCCCACUGCACAUAAAUGUGCCCUUCUACCUGACCCCUUAUUUACACAGAGUACUGGAGGUUUUUUGUUUUUAUCUUUUCAAAAUUGAAAUUUGAGAAACAAUAUAUUUCUUUUGGAUAUUUUAUUACCUUCAAUAAGCACUCACUUGACCUGGGAGGCAACAUGUAUUAAAUCCUAUAUAAUAAAUUAUACAGUUAAAGUUUCCGAGGUGACCCUGUGUCCAAGUUGAUAUCUUACAUUUUUUUUUUUUUGAAAAAAGGUGGACUAUAAGUGAAUGCAUCCUCCAUGUUCUUAAUGUGCACCUCACUAGUGCUGCCAGGAGAGAUAGUAGAAGACUGUCCCAUGUGUAAUAGAAACAUGUAAGAAAAACUUUGGAGAGAACACAGAAGAUGUUUUGGAGAAGAAAAAUAAUCAAAAGGAGUUUUUAAUCAAUGUUCUUUAACAGGUAGACCAUGAAGGUAAAUGCAUGUGCUAGACUGUUACGGGACUGCAUCAAUGAGUCACAUAUCCUGGAAUCCAGGUCCUUUCUUGCUUUUCUUUUUAUUUAUUUAUUUUUUUUUUAGAGAUGGGGUCUCGCUAUGUUGCCCAGGCUGGCCUCAAAUUCCUGGACUCAAGCAAUCCUCCCACCUCAGCCUCCCAAAGUACUGGCAUCACAGGCAAGAGCUACCGUGCACAGUCCCAGGUCCUUUCAUAGUCCUCUCCCACAUUGACUCUGAGCUUAGUUCAUGACCUGCUUUGGCCAAGGGAACAUCAGCAAACACGAUAGAGCAGAAUCUUUGUAAGUACUUGUCCAAUGGGAUUUGCCCAUCAUCAUGUGAAAAAGCCCAGGGGAAAGACACAAAGAGAAAGAAGUUUAGUCAUACGAAUCCCAACUGAGGCACCAGACACAUGAGUAAGCCUGUGUUAGACCAUCUAGUCCCAACCAAGCUACCAGCUGACUGCAGCCACGUGAGUAAGCCCAAAGGAGACUAAUGAAAAUAUCAUCCAGUCGCAUUAGUGUUGUUUUCAGUGACAAAUUUAGAUGGUUUGUUAGACAGCAAUUGAUAACUGAUCCAACACACCCUAGGACAAGAAAUGGCACUUAUCCAGCACUUACUAAGUUCUUAAGAGUGCACAACCCUGAGAAAAAGACUUGCAAAUUAAAUCAAGAUAACUAUGGUGUGGAAAGAGCUGUAAUAUUUGAUAGAUAAGGGCACAAAGGAAGGAGUCCUCUGCUUUGGUUAGUCAAAGACUUCACAGAAAAGAAAAUACAUGAAUUUUGUCUUGAAAGAUAACCCAGCUGAUUAAAAAUAAAAAGAUUCGAAUAGGUACAGAAAACAAUGAAGGUAUAGAGGUGAGAAAUCAACAAGAUGUUCAGAAGCCUGUGUAUGAUUUUAUCCAGUAAAAGUAAAGGUAGGUGUUUCAGAGAAUG
rnacentral:lncRNA from 1 species